CUAUUAUUGUGCCGAACUGCGAACGGUCGCACUGAUCGAUUCCCGUAUCUCGAUAUGCAUGCGUUGGUGUUAGUGAGAACGGUCGUCCGUCAAAUGACAACUGUGGUUGCGCCCUUAGACGUCAGUUGAUUCUGUUCGCAAAUUCGGCAAAAUUCGUCAACGGUUUUUUUUUGUUUUUGUUUUCUCUUUGUUUUUUGAGUCAUGUUUUGAUUUUGUUCGUGAACUGCAGAAGUAGUGCCGCCGCGGAAGAGUAAUUUCUUACUACCCGUAAAAUCUUCGGAGUGUGGUCAAUGCUUGGUUCAACGUAUCUAGCAAGUCGAAAAUGCUAGAUCCGGAGUUAAAAGUAGAGGCUCAAGCUGCAAUAACUAAACACAAAUUUCUGUGGGGAAAGCGGUUAGUGAUCCAGCGGAACCGGUGGGUGUGACCAUGGAGUGGACGGAACAAUAAUGUUCGUUGCCAUCGUACCGUUUGUGAAGAAGGAAUGCGGAGGUGGACGAGAAGGACAAGGUCCGGUACCGUACGUGAGACGGUUACCUACAGGCCAAAUUUUUAUCAACCUAUCAAAAUACGACUAUAUGUCAUAGAUCCAGCAUAAAUGAAAGAACCUGCUCCGAAACUUGGCGAUAGGCUCACCUCCGAAGCGAACCGGAACGAAUGCAACAGAAAUUGCCACGAGAAAAGUUUUUUUUUUAAUAAAACAAUUACAAUUUUUUUAACGCGAGAAGCGAAUUCCAAAAACAAAUAUUCAGCAAACGGAAUCCGCCGUAUGUUUACAAAGCGACUUUCAACAACCUUCUGAAAAAUCACCACUCGAGGAAAAGCUGGUGUCCAGCUGGCCAAGCAGCAAACCGGUGCGCUGGGGAUCAUCUGUCUGAAGGCCAACUACAGCUCGGAUGCCCCCGUAAUCUCCGGACUACGAAUCCGGCCGAAAUGAAACGCGGUACCGGUGGUCGAUCGAGUGUCAACGGUGUUGCUACUGUUUUCGGCGCCAGCGGAUUCUUGGGUCGCUACGUGUGCAACAAGUUGGGCAAGACGGGAUCCUAGCUGAUUAUUCCCUAUCGGGCUGAUCACUACGAGGCCUUGCGGCUGAAAAUGGUCGGGGAUCUGGGCCAGGUCCUGUUUAUUAAUUAUCAUCUAAGCGAUGAGGCUGUGAAGCAUUCGAUCUGAAGUCAUCAAUCUGGUUACUUUCGAUUAUGUCCAAGUUCAGGGCGCUAGGAGAUUGACCCGUAUCGCCAAGCAGGCCGGAGUGGAGAAGUUUAUGCAUCUGUAGAGCUUGAAUUAUACCCCGAAUUCGACGCCGAUUCUGACCAAAGAGGGCAGCAAGUUCCUCAAGACCACGUACCACGGAGAGAUGGCGGUCCGCGAGGAAUUUCCCGAGCCCGUUAUCUUCCGCCCGGCGGACAUCUACGGACGCUCAUCUACGGCGCCGUCAAGGGCGAGAGGAUCGUCAAGCGAUUCACUGCUCUGGGUAUCAACAACGCCAUCAAACCUUCAGCAGAUUAACUUAGAACUGGAAUCGCUGCCAAAUCGUCCGCUGUUCUUCAUGGUUCUACGCAGAAAUAUCCAGCGAAUGCAGUUCAGCUUGGCUCCACUUCUGGACCUCACAGAAGGAUAUUUUCGACAUGGCGCCCCUUAACCCUUUCCUUCUCACGACUUUGAACGACUCUAUGUCAAAAAGCCGUUUCUUUUUUAUAAACAUCAGCAUAGUGGACCUGCAGUGCAAAUUCUUCAACAGUUGUUUUUAUUGUUGCGGUUGUUCAACGACGAACAUUAAAUAUAGUAGAUGGAGGUAUGGAGGCAAGAACGAAUUGGUGCUGAAUGUUAUGGUGAAGGAGGGAGGAAAAUUAUGUAGAAAAACCGGCUGGUGUUGCCAGGAACGGGCGCAAUGCAGUGCUGAGGAAGAGGCAUCCGGAUUUAAAUACACUACUAUCCUAGAAUACGGUCUUAGGGAAGGCAUGGCAAUUGUAAGAAGCCGUUAUGAUCGAUCCAGUGCUGUUCUUCGUAGUUAACCUGGAAGAAAAUUAUCGAUAGCGGGCGAGAUCUCCGAUUACGAAAAUUAUCAAGAUUAUUCGUGCAUCUCCUCCUUAUUGCUUAAACCAUAGAUCCGGUGUGAUCCUCUAAGCGCCACACCGUGAUGCUGCUGCCUACACGUAGGUA